UACGUAGGGCGCAAGCGUUGUCCGGAAUUAUUGGGCGUAAAGAGCUCGUAGGCGGCUUGUCACGUCGGGUGUGAAAGCCCGGGGCUUAACCCCGGGUCUGCAUUCGAUACGGGCAGGCUAGAGUGUGGUAGGGGAGAUCGGAAUUCCUGGUGUAGCGGUGAAAUGCGCAGAUAUCAGGAGGAACACCGGUGGCGAAGGCGGAUCUCUGGGCCGAAACUGACGCUGAGGAGCGAAAGCGUGGGGAGCAAACAGG
rnacentral:rRNA from 1 species